GACGUAGGAGGCGAGCGUUGUCCGGAUUCAUUGGGCGUAAAGAGCACGCAGGCGGUUUGGCAAGUCGGACGUGAAAAUCCGGGGCUCAACCCCGGACCUGCAUCCGAAACUGCCCGACUAGAGGUAGGUAGGGGAGAUCGGAAUUCCUGGUGUAGCGGUGAAAUGCGCAGAUAUCAGGAGGAACACCGGUGGCGAAGGCGGAUCUCUGGGCCUUACCUGACGCUCAGGUGCGAAAGCUAGGAGAGCGAACAGG
rnacentral:rRNA from 1 species